rnacentral:rRNA from 1 species
ACUCCUGCGGGAGGCAGCAGUGGGGAAUUUUGGACAAUGGGCGAAAGCCUGAUCCAGCAAUGCCGCGUGAGUGAAGAAGGCCUUCGGGUUGUAAAGCUCUUUUGUCAGGGAAGAAACGGUGAGAGCUAAUAUCUCUUGCUAAUGACGGUACCUGAAGAAUAAGCACCGGCUAACUACGUGCCAGCAGCCGCGGUAAUACGUAGGGUGCAAGCGUUAAUCGGAAUUACUGGGCGUAAAGCGUGCGCAGGCGGUUUUGUAAGUCUGAUGUGAAAUCCCCGGGCUCAACCUGGGAAUUGCAUUGGAGACUGCAAGGCUAGAAUCUGGCAGAGGGGGGUAGAAUUCCACGUGUAGCAGUGAAAUGCGUAGAUAUGUGGAGGAACACCGAUUGCGAAGGCAGCCCCCUGGGUCAAGAUUGACGCUCAUGCACGAAAGCGUGGGGAGCAAACAGGAUUAGAAACCCGAGUAGUCCCAUG